GAAAUAACCACUGCCGACUUACCAUUAAUUGUCUUGACGCCGGAGUGAUCUGGAGCAGGUGACGGUGGCUCGGGAUCAGACUCUGGCUCCAGAUCUGGAGCAGGUGACGGUGGCUCGGGAUCAGAAUCUGGCUCCAGAUCUGGAGCAGGUGACGGUGGCUCGGGAUCAGGCUCUGGCUCCAGAUCUGGAGCAGGUGACGGUGGCUCGGGAUCAGACUCUGGCUCCAGAUCUGGUGGAGGGACACAAGGCUCCACAACAUCCACAUCACUACAGGGGCAACAGCACCGGAAAGGACUCUUCAUCGCCUUCCACAGCCUGUUGAGGAAAGAACGAAUUUGUUUCCUCUUCCUGCGUUCUGUAGGUUUU